CAGCAGCCGCGGGAAUACGUAGGUGGCAAGCGUUGUCCGGAAUUAUUGGGCGUAAAGCGCGCGCAGGUGGUUUAAUAAGUCUGAUGUGAAAGCCCACGGCUCAACCGUGGAGGGUCAUUGGAAACUGUUAAACUUGAGUGCAGGAGAGAAAAGUGGAAUUCCUAGUGUAGCGGUGAAAUGCGUAGAGAUUAGGAGGAACGCCAGCGGCGAAGGCGGCUUUUUGGCCUGUAACUGACACUGAGGCGCGAAAGCGUGGGGAGCAAACAGGAUUAGAUACCCCGGUAGUCCCUGUCUCUUAUAC
rnacentral:rRNA from 1 species